AUUCAGAAGCUAAAGGUAGAAAAUAGUGUCAUCAUUUUUUAAUUGAACACCAUUGGCAUUUGCCAUAAAACAUAAUGUGUUAGCCCCAGUCUCCUCAAUUGCACAAUACUAAAAGAACAGUUAUUCAACUAACGAUUCGAGUGCUUAAACCAAAAACAUUCUUGAAAUUAACCUCCCCAACCUCCUUAAAUAAACCUCAACAGUGUGAAUGAAAACUCAAACGUUAUAGAUGCUCAGUCGUGCAGUGUCCCCAAAAUGUCUUCAUCCCGGUACAAA
rnacentral:misc_RNA from 1 species